UACGUAGGGAGCAAGCGUUGUUCGGAUUUACUGGGCGUAAAGGGCGCGUAGGCGGCGCGGUAAGUCACUUGUGAAAUCUCUGAGCUUAACUCAGAACGGCCAAGUGAUACUGCAGUGCUAGAGUGCAGAAAGGGCAAUCGGAAUUCUUGGUGUAGCGGUGAAAUGCGUAGAUAUGCGGAGGAACACCGAUGGCGAAGGCAAUCCCCUGGACCUGUACUGACGCUCAUGCACGAAAGCGUGGGGAGCAAACAGG
rnacentral:rRNA from 1 species